UAAGCAUCCAAGAAACCGCCUCCAAGGAGUGUAGAACUGCUCUGGACAUCUCUGCUUGCCAAAAGAUUACUAUGAAGAUCGCACUGGUAUAUCGCCUCCAAGGAGUGUAUAUCGAGGUGACUUAUUCUCUUUACUAUCACAAUGUCACACAAAUUAACUUUGCCUUUCAUUUAACCACAAUCAAUCAUACUCACAAGCAAGUUAUCAUCACAAGGACUUUUUAUGGCUUGUAACGUCGUUGGGCUAAGAAGAACAUUGGUUUUUCUGGAUCACAAAAUCCUUGAGUUAAGAGAGUUAUUCACAUUUAUAGUUUAAACACAAACUCUCUUUAAACAACCAAUCUCACUCAUUCCCAACUUUCCCUUUUCUUUGCAUUGAGCUUUUCUUCUCAUUUUAUCUUUUUUUUUUAUAUUUUCUAUCUUUUUCAUCUUUCCAUGUUUUGCUCAAUACAUUAGCUCAAUGCUUAUGUUUUUCUUUUUCAACUUUCCCAACAGCCCCAAACUUGAACCUUUAUCAAUACCAAACAAUAAUUCUCAACUUAACUCAAGGUAAAGAUUUGCAAAAGGAUUUUCUCAUACUGUUUAAGACUUAGGUUCAAAAACGGUAGAACACAUUCUGCUCUUUUUAAUUAGGAUGAAAGUUUU
rnacentral:lncRNA from 1 species